AACGAACGCUGGCGGCAUGCCUAACACAUGCAAGUCGAACGAACCCUUCGGGGUGAGUGGCGCACGGGUGCGUAACGCGUGGGAACCUGCCCUUAGGUUCGGAAUAACAGUGAGAAAUCGCUGCUAAUACCGGAUAAUGUCUUCGGACCAAAGAUUUAUCGCCUUUGGAUGGGCCCGCGUUGGAUUAGCUAGUUGGUGGGGUAAAGGCUCACCAAGGCGACGAUCCAUAGCUGGUCUUAGAGGAUGAUCAGCCACACUGGGACUGAGACACGGCCCAGACUCCUACGGGAGGCAGCAGUGGGGAAUAUUGGACAAUGGGCGAAAGCCUGAUCCAGCAAUGCCGCGUGAGUGAUGAAGGCCUUAGGGUUGUAAAGCUCUUUUACCAGGGAUGAUAAUGACAGUACCUGGAGAAUAAGCUCCGGCUAACUCCGUGCCAGCAGCCGCGGU
rnacentral:rRNA from 1 species